AUUAAACGCUGGCGGCAUGCCUUACACAUGCAAGUCGAACGGCAGCACGGGGGCAACCCUGGUGGCGAGUGGCGGACGGGUGAGUAAUACAUCGGAACGUGCCCUGGAGUGGGGGAUAACGCAGCGAAAGCUACGCUAAUACCGCAUAUUCUGUGAGCAGGAAAGCAGGGGAUCGCAAGACCUUGCGCUUUGGGAGCGGCCGAUGUCGGAUUAGCUAGUUGGUGGGGUAAAGGCCUACCAAGGCGACGAUCCGUAGCGGGUCUGAGAGGAUGAUCCGCCACACUGGGACUGAGACACGGCCCAGACUCCUACGGGAGGCAGCAGUGGGAAUUUUGGACAAUGGGCGGAAGCCUGAUCCAGCCAUGCCGCGUGAGUGAAGAAGG
rnacentral:rRNA from 1 species